rnacentral:rRNA from 1 species
UACGGAGGGUGCAAGCGUUAAUCGGAAUUACUGGGCGUAAAGCGUGCGUAGGCGGUGAGUGAAGUCUGUUGUGAAAUCCCUGGGCUCAACCUGGGAGUGGCGGUGGAUACUGGCUUGCUAGAGUACGGUAGAGGAAGGUGGAAUUCCCGGUGUGGCGGUGAAAUGCGUAGAGAUCGGGAGGAACAUCAGUGGCGAAGGCGACCUUCUGGACCAGUACUGACGCUGAGGCACGAAAGCGUGGGGAGCAAACAGGGAUUAGAUACCCUGGUAGUCCACGCCCUAAACGAUGCGAACUGGAGGUUGGGUGCAACUUGGCACGCAGUCUCGAAGCUAACGCGUUAAGUUCGCCGCCUGGGGAGUACGGUCGCAAGACUGAAACUC